CCUACGGGAGGCUGCAGUGGGGAAUAUUGGACAAUGGGCGAAAGCCUGAUCCAGCCAUGCCGCGUGUGUGAAGAAGGCCUUCGGGUUGUAAAGCACUUUCAGUGGGGAAGAAAGCCUUGGGGCUAAUACCCUCGAGGAAGGACAUCACCCACAGAAGAAGCACCGGCUAACUCCGUGCCAGCAGCCGCGGUAAUACGGAGGGUACGAGCGUUAAUCGGAAUUACUGGGCGUAAAGCGCGCGUAGGCGGUCUGAUAAGCCGGUUGUGAAAGCCCCGGGCUCAACCUGGGAACGGCAUCCGGAACUGUCAGGCUAGAGUGCAGGAGAGGAAGGUAGAAUUCCCGGUGUAGCGGUGAAAUGCGUAGAGAUCGGGAGGAAUACCAGUGGCGAAGGCGGCCUUCUGGACUGACACUGACGCUGAGGUGCGAAAGCGUGGGUAGCAAACAGGAUUAGAUACCCGAGUAGUC
rnacentral:rRNA from 1 species